AGUGAACGCUGGCGGCGUGCCUAAUACAUGCAAGUCGAACGGAGUGGCGCAAGGGUGCGUAAUGUAUAGCUAAACCGCCCUACACUAGAGGAAAACAGUUGGGAACGACUGCUAAUACUCUAUAGUGUAGGAUAAGUCUAUAUUGUAUCAGAUAGUUGGUGAGGAAAUGGCUCACCAAGGGUAUGACGCAUAACUGGUCUGAGAGGAUGAUAAGUCACACUGGAACUGAGACACGGUCCAGGCACCUUCGGUAGGGGGCAGUAGGGAACAUGGCUAAAUGGGGGAAACCCUGAAGCAGCAACGGCGCGUGGAGGAUGGGACUUUUCGGAGCGUAAACUCCUUUGGUUAGGGAAGCGGUACCUAACGAAUAAGCACCGGCUAACUCCGUGCCAGCAGCCGCGGUAAUUC
rnacentral:rRNA from 1 species